rnacentral:rRNA from 1 species
UACGUAGGGUGCAGGCGUAAUCGGAAUUACUGGGCGUAAAGCGUGCGCAGGCGGUCUCUUAAGACAGGUGUGAAAUCCCCCGGGCUUAACCUGGGAACUGCGCUUGUAACUGAGAGGCUAGAGUGUGGCAGAGGGGGGGUGGAAUUCCACGUGUAGCAGUGAAAUGCGUAGAGAUGUGGAGGAACACCGAUGGCGAAGGCAGCCCCCUGGGCUAACACUGACGCUCAUGCACGAAAGCGUGGGGAGCAACAGG